AAGAUAGGAUAAAUAUUCAAGAAUAAGCUUCUAACUUAAUUCUUUAGCAAUGAAAUUUUGUUAAUAUCUUU
rnacentral:tRNA from 1 species